GACUUUUCAGAUUGAAUGUUCCCCCUGAACUUGACCGUGGGCUAAGCAGAUAAGGACAACUCUGAAAACUAGAUAAUGUGGAAAGAAAAGAGAUUACAGAAAGGUCAAAAGAUUAGCUGAGGGAUAAGUGGAAGUCAGAGGAAAGAAAGGGAAAAGGUUAGAAACUGAUACCAGGCAAGGAAGAUAAAUCAAGUGAGCAAGGAGAGGAAAUGAACAUCAGAGGAAAAUAAGAAAUGGGACCAGGAGAUCGGCUACAGGAUAGCAAAGGAAGACAAAGAAGAUUAAAGAGAAAAAUGCAAGAAAACAAAAGAACUGACAAUGUGAAUGAAAGGAGAGAGAAAUAAAAUAAAAAUAUCAAAUGGAAUAUGUCUAAGGCUUCCAGGUCUGAAUGGAAUGUGAACUGGUGAACCUCCAGGCAACGAUCCGUUAUUUUACCAAGGUCCAGUGAAGCAGAUUUUCUUUGGGGAAUGAAGAGAAUUGCUGAAUUCCGCCUACGGUUGCCUGUAGAGAAUCACACCUACCCACAAGGCUGUCUCUGUUAUGCAAAAAGAAAAACAAAGAUUGCAUGCUCUUUGGAAGUGGGAAUUGUGUCUUCUAUAAUUUACCUCAAAAGGUCUUUGGAUGUGGAGUCAGUGGUUAUUAGCUAUUUGCUAUUACCACAAAGGACAGAAGAAGGAGAAAUGGCUUCAAGGGAAAGUAGGUAAUCAGGGGAAGCCUGGAAGUGCAUUGGGACAGAUACUCAGAGGCGUGGGGGCUUGGUCAAUGUGCAAAUUCUCAAUGAUAAGUGCUGGCCCUCAUGUUCCAUCUCCCUGAUAACACGCCUUCACUUGAAAGAGGAGUGGUGAUCAACAUCCCCACUGAGGAGCCCCCGGGAUUUAUGACUACAGUUUUAUGGUUGCUUCUAUUUUUAAUACCUACUCUGUGCCAGAAACUGAAACAGAUGCCUCUUAAACCUACCUUUAAUCUUCAACUACCACGGAAAGUAUUAUCUUUACCCUACUGAUGAGGAACUGAGAUCCAGAACAUCAAAGUAUGUUGGUUGGAGUGGGCUGUAUGAUAACUUAUAACCCCAAAAUUUCAGUGUCUCAACAAAGCAAAAAAUUGUUUAUUAUUCAAAUAUCCCAAUAUGGUGUUCCUGGCAAUCUUCAGAGAGCAACUCGCACAUCCAGGAUAGAAGUAGCUUGAAGACCUCUUCAGCUGGUUAAUGGGAAAGAGAACGUAGAAUCACAUGUAGUAUACAUUAUUUUUUCCCGUGUUCCAUUGGCUAGAACAUAGUCAUAUAACUGUGCCUAAUUGCAAGGAAGGGUGGGAAAUAUAGUCUAGUUGUGAGAACAGGAGAAAAGGAAAAACAGCUUGGUGAACAAUAAGCCAGUCUCUACCACACUAGGUUCUUACCCAAGUUACACAAUUAAUAUGUAAUAGAGCUGGAAUCCAAACCUUACCUGGGACAUAAUUAUAUCAGUGUAUUUGUGUGCUCAUGAAACAGAAUAUUGUAAUAUUUUGUCAAAAGGAAGCAGUUUCUUAGAGAGAAGAGGGUCAAUCUUUUUAUUAGGAUCUAGGAAGUUAAUUGGGGACAAGAACAGCCCUAUCAUUCCAUCUAUAAAUAGCAGUGAUGAAGACCUCCUUAGAGGUUAGAGAAGGAGGUAGGAGCUUGGAG
rnacentral:lncRNA from 1 species